rnacentral:rRNA from 1 species
AACGAACGCUGGCGGCAGGCCUAACACAUGCAAGUCGAACGCCCUAGCAAUGGGGAGUGGCAGACGGGUGAGUAACGCGUGGGAACGUGCCUUUCGGUUCGGAAUAACUCAGGGAAACUUGAGCUAAUACCGGAUACGCCCUUCGGGGGAAAGAUUUAUUUCCGAAAGAUCGGCCCGCGUCCGAUUAGCUAGUUGGUGAGGUAAAGGCUCACCAAGGCGACGAUCGGUAGCUGGUCUGAGAGGAUGAUCAGCCACACUGGGACUGAGACACGGCCCAGACUCCUACGGGAGGCAGCAGUGGGGAAUAUUGGACAAUGGGCGCAAGCCUGAUCCAGCCAUGCCGCGUGAGUGAUGAAGGCCCUAGGGUUGUAAAGCUCUUUCGCCAGGGACGAUAAUGACGGUACCUGGAUAAGAAGCCCCGGCUAACUUCGUGCCAGCCGCCGCGGUAA